UGUGUGUGUGUGUGUGCAGGAUAUUGAGCGUGUGUGUGUGUGUGUGUGUGUGUGUGCAGGAUGGCAGCGGUGUUCUGCAGCGCAGCAGCUCUAUCGGGCGUCUCAGAGAUGUGCUGCGCAGAAGCAGUGAGAUGCUGGUGAAAAAACUCCAAUUAAACGCACCUCCAGACACACACAGCAAAAUGAAACGCGCCGCUUCACUCAGCGUCCUGAACAAGACGGGCGACGAGUCCUUCCAGAAUCUGGGCGGCCGGCGGCUGAGAGACAGUCGAGGAUUGAGCUCCAGUAAUGUGGAUCUGUACAGCAGCAGUUAAAUCAGUCCCGAGCGGCUGCUGUUACCUGAUAAAGCCAUAAAAUACGCCCUCGUCAGGGACGCACAUUAGUGAUUAGGAGUAGAUGGUGUCUUCUGGCUGAAAGGGAACUUCUGCUGCUGCUUUACUAUGCUCACACUCUAUAUAUGUAGUGUAUGUUGACAUGGACGCGUCUGUUACAGAGACGAUCGAAGCAAACGCUGCAGCUGUUCCUGAUGAUCUUCUGCAGCUGCUCGUCUUCAGAGCUCAUUUAUGGGUCUGUUUCUCUCUGAGGGAAGGAUUUCUUUCUUUUCAUCUGGGUUUGGGUUCAUAGUGGAUUUUGAAACUCAUUAAGAAAAAAUAGAAUUGAAGAGAACUUGCUGUGCUGAAAUAAUGAAGAUCACAUAAUGAUCAGCACGCGCACACUCACACACACUCACACACACUCACACACAGACACUCACACUCACACACACACGCA